UGGUUUUAUUAUAAUGUAUAGAUGUAUAGAUAUCAUGAUUCAUAAAAUACUCUUUUUUAACACAUAUAAAAUACUCUUAAAUCAAUAUAAGUUUUAUUUUCCCAUAACUUUUUAAUUAUUAACAAACAAGUUUUCAUGAAUUACAAUUUUAGAAUAUUGUCAAAAAAAAUUCCAUGAAUGAGAUUAAUAUGGUUGAUUCAAAAUAAAUAUGGUGAGGUGGUGAAUGUUUGUUUAAAGAGAUGAGCUAGAACAAAGUCCUCUUUGAGAUUUGUUCAUAAGGUGUUAACAAAAUGGUUACUUUUUUCAUAAGGUGAUAACAAAAGGCUUACAAUUUGGUGAGGGAUUUGUGAAUGCGUGUGACCAUUUGUGAAUUCGGAUUUGUAUUAAUCUGAAUAAAUGAUUAAAUUUUAAAUAAUAUAUCAACGCUCCUUUCAAUCUAGCCAAUAAUUAUGUAGCAAGCAUUAUUAAUUAGAAUAACAAAAAAGAGUAGAAUGCAAAUAUUUAUAAACAAUGUGUGGGACAUGUUUCUCGGAUGAGUUAUAGUAAGGAGUAACAACAAGCAAAUGCAAUUAAGCAAAUUGAAAGCAACCUAACAUUGGAGAUUAUUAUAUAGGACUUGAGUGUGCAAAUAAAAUACAUGAGAGUGUUCCCCUUAGUGUUUUUUCAAAUGGAAUUUUAAUUGUCUUGCCUUUUUAGUGACAAUGGAUAUUCAAUAUAUUAGUAAUGGUA